rnacentral:rRNA from 1 species
UGAACGCUAGCGACAGGCCUAACACAUGCAAGUCGAGGGGCAGCGACAAGGAGCAAUCUGAGGUGGCGACCGGCGCACGGUGAGUAACACGUAUGCAACCUGCCUGUAAGCGGGGAAGUAACCCGUUGAAAGAACGGACUAAUACCGCAUAAUACUAAAUUACUGCAUGGUAAUUAUUUAAACAUUUAUGGCUUACAGAUGGGCAUGCGCAUGAUUAGCUAGUUGGAGAGGUAACGGCUCCCCAAGGCAACGAUCAUUAGGGGUUCUGAGAGGAAGGUCCCCACCACUGGUACUGAGACACGGACCAGACUCCUACGGGAGGCAGCAGUGAGGAAUAUUGGUCAAUGGACGAGAGUCUGAACCAGCCAAGUCGCGUGCAGGAAGAAUGUCCUUAAUGGAUUGUAAACUGCUUUUGCAGGGGAAUAAAGUGCAUCACGUGUGAUGUUUUGUAUGUACUCUGCGAAUAAGGAUCGGCUAACUCCGUGCCAGCAGCUGC